rnacentral:rRNA from 1 species
AUGUUUUUUGACGAUAUGCCAAGCACGUCCUCUUGUUGCAUCUCGUCGACAAAUCUGAAGCCCGCAAGAAGAAGAAGAAGUGCCACAGAUCGAUGGUUGACCUCCUUUGCAAUUCCGCGCAACCGAGCUUGCGGCCACAAAUUGCUCAUAAAAGACUAUUUUGCCGAGGUACCAACCUAUCUGGGUCAUCUCUUACACGUAGGCGUUAUCGAAUGCAUAGGUCUCUUUUUGUUCGCAUUGUGGAAGCUUGCAAGCAAAAUUAUCGUUUCUUCACUCGUUGAGAAAUGCCGCCAGUUUGGUAGGAUUUAG